rnacentral:rRNA from 1 species
GGGACACGUGGUAUCCUGUCUGAAUAUGGGGGGACCAUCCUCCAAGGCUAAAUACUCCUGACUGACCGAUAGUGAACCAGUACCGUGAGGGAAAGGCGAAAAGAACCCCGGCGAGGGGAGUGAAAAAGAACCUGAAACCGUGUACGUACAAGCAGUGGGAGCACCUUCGUGGUGUGACUGCGUACCUUUUGUAUAAUGGGUCAGCGACUUAUAUUCUGUAGCAAGGUUAACCGUAUAGGGGAGCCGAAGGGAAACCGAGUCUUAACUGGGCGUUAAGUUGCAGGGUAUAGACCCGAAACCCGGUGAUCUAGCCAUGGGCAGGUUGAAGGUUGGGUAACACUAACUGGAGGACCGAACCGACUAAUGUUGAAAAAUUAGCGGAUGACUUGUGGCUGGGGGUGAAAGGCCAAUCAAACCGGGAGAUAGCUGGUUCUCCCCGAAAGCUAUUUAGGUAGCGCCUCGUGAACUCAUCUUCGGGGGUAGAGCACUGUUUCGGCUAGGGGGCCAUCCCGGCUUACCAACCCGAUGCAAACUACGAAUACCGAAGAAUGUUAUCACGGGAGACACACGGCGGGUGCUAACGUCCGUCGUGAAGAGGGAAACAACCCAGACCGCCAGCUAAGGUCCCAAAGUCAUGGUUAAGUGGGAAACGAUGUGGGAAGGCACAGACAGCCAGGAUGUUGGCUUAGAAGCAGCCAUCAUUUAAAGAAAGCGUAAUAGCUCACUGGUCGAGUCGGCCUGCGCGGAAGAUGUAACGGGGCUAAACCAUGCACCGAAGCUGCGGCAGCGACACUAUGUGUUGUUGGGUAGGGGAGCGUUCUGUAAGCCGUUGAAGGUGUGCUGUGAGGCAUGCUGGAGGUAUCAGAAGUGCGAAUGCUGACAUAAGUAACGAUAAAGCGGGUGAAAAGCCCGCUCGCCGGAAGACCAAGGGUUCCUGUCCAACGUUAAUCGGGGCAGGGUGAGUCGACCCCUAAGGCGAGGCCGAAAGGCGUAGUCGAUGGGAAACAGGUUAAUAUUCCUGUACUUGGUGUUACUGCGAAGGGGGGACGGAGAAGGCUAUGUUAGCCGGGCGACGGUUGUCCCGGUUUAAGCAUGUAGGCGGAACGAUUAGGUAAAUCCGGUCGUUUUUUAACGCUGAGGUGUGAUGACGAGGCACUACGGUGCUGAAGUAACAAAUGCCCUGCUUCCAGGAAAAGCCUCUAAGCAUCAGGUAACAUCAAAUCGUACCCCAAACCGACACAGGUGGUCAGGUAGAGAAUACCAAGGCGCUUGAGAGAACUCGGGUGAAGGAACUAGGCAAAAUGGUGCCGUAACUUCGGGAGAAGGCACGCUGAUAUGUAGGUGAAGCCCCUGCGGGUGGAGCUGAAAUCAGUCGAAGAUACCAGCUGGCUGCAACUGUUUAUUAAAAACACAGCACUGUGCAAACACGAAAGUGGACGUAUACGGUGUGACGCCUGCCCGGUGCCGGAAGGUUAAUUGAUGGGGUUAGCGGUAACGCGAAGCUCUUGAUCGAAGCCCCGGUAAACGGCGGCCGUAACUAUAACGGUCCUAAGGUAGCGAAAUUCCUUGUCGGGUAAGUUCCGACCUGCACGAAUGGCGUAAUGAUGGCCAGGCUGUCUCCACCCGAGACUCAGUGAAAUUGAACUCGCUGUGAAGAUGCAGUGUACCCGCGGCAAGACGGAAAGACCCCGUGAACCUUUACUAUAGCUUGACACUGAACACUGGUCCUUGAUGUGUAGGAUAGGUGGGAGGCUUUGAAGUGUG